rnacentral:rRNA from 1 species
GGGUGCCUGCGGAAGGAUCAUUACCGAGUUGAUUCGGGCUCCGGCCCGAUCCUCCCACCCUUUGUGUACCUACCUCUGUUGCUUUGGCGGGCCGCGGUCCUCCGCGGCUGCCCCCUCCCCGGGGGGUGGCCAGCGCCCGCCAGAGGACCAUCAAACUCCAGUCAGUAAACGAUGCAGUCUGAAAAACAUUCAAUAAACUAAAACUUUCAACAACGGAUCUCUUGGUUCUGGCAUCGAUGAAGAACGCAGCGAAAUGCGAUAAGUAAUGUGAAUUGCAGAAUUCAGUGAAUCAUCGAAUCUUUGAACGCACAUUGCGCCCUUUGGUAUUCCGAAGGGCAUGCCUGUUCGAGCGUCAUUACAACCCUCAAGCUCUGCUUGGUAUUGGGCACCGUCCUUUGCGGGCGCGCCUCAAAGACCUCGGCGGUGGCGUCUUGCCUCAAGCGUAGUAGAACAUACAUCUCGCUUCGGAGCGCAGGGCGUCGCCCGCCGGACGAACCUUCUGAACUUUUCUCAAGGUUGACCUCGGAUCAGGUAGGGAUACCCGCUGAACUUAAGCAUAUCAAUAAACCGGAGGAAGAUCAUUACCGAGUUGAUUCGGGCUCGGCCCGAUCCU